AUGAACGCUGGCGGCAGGCCUAAAACAUGCAAGUCGAACGCUGUAGCAAUACAGAGUGGCGCACGAGUGAGUAACACGUGGGAAUGUGCCUUUUGGUACGGAACAACGUCGGGAAACUGACGCUAAUACCGUAUGGUCCCUCCGGGGUAAAGAUUUAUCGCCAAAAGAGCAGCCCGCGUCUGAUUAGCUAGUUGGUGAGGUAAUGGCUCACCAAGGCGACGAUCAGUAGCUGGUCUGAGAGGACGAUCAGCCACGCUGGGACUGAGACACGGCCCAGACUCCUACGGGAGGCAGCAGUUAGGAAUCUUGGACAAUGGGCGCAAGCCUGAUCCAGCCAUGCCGCGUGAGUGAUGAAGGCCUUCGGGUUGUAAAGCUCUUUAGCCGAUGAAUAUAAUGACUGUAGUCGGAAAAUAAGCCCCGGCUAACUUCGU
rnacentral:rRNA from 1 species